rnacentral:rRNA from 1 species
UUUAUGGAGAGUUUGAUCCUGGCUCAGGAUGAACGCUGGCGGCGUGCCUAAUACAUGCAAGUCGAGCGAACGGACGAGAAGCUUGCUUCUCUGAUGUUAGCGGCGGACGGGUGAGUAACACGUGGAUAACCUACCUAUAAGACUGGGAUAACUUCGGGAAACCGGAGCUAAUACCGGAUAAUAUUUUGAACCGCAUGGUUCAAAAGUGAAAGACGGUCUUGCUGUCACUUAUAGAUGGAUCCGCGCUGCAUUAGCUAGUUGGUAAGGUAACGGCUUACCAAGGCAACGAUGCAUAGCCGACCUGAGAGGGUGAUCGGCCACACUGGAACUGAGACACGGUCCAGACUCCUACGGGAGGCAGCAGUAGGGAAUCUUCCGCAAUGGGCGAAAGCCUGACGGAGCAACGCCGCGUGAGUGAUGAAGGUCUUCGGAUCGUAAAACUCUGUUAUUAGGGAAGAACAUAUGUGUAAGUAACUGUGCACAUCUUGACGGUACCUAAUCAGAAAGCCACGGCUAACUACGUGCCAGCAGCCGCGGUAAUACGUAGGUGGCAAGCGUUAUCCGGAAUUAUUGGGCGUAAAGCGCGCGUAGGCGGUUUUUUAAGUCUGAUGUGAAAGCCCACGGCUCAACCGUGGAGGGUCAUUGGAAACUGGAAAACUUGAGUGCAGAAGAGGAAAGUGGAAUUCCAUGUGUAGCGGUGAAAUGCGCAGAGAUAUGGAGGAACACCAGUGGCGAAGGCGACUUUCUGGUCUGUAACUGACGCUGAUGUGCGAAAGCGUGGGGAUCAAACAGGAUUAGAUACCCUGGUAGUCCACGCCGUAAACGAUGAGUGCUAAGUGUUAGGGGGUUUCCGCCCCUUAGUGCUGCAGCUAACGCAUUAAGCACUCCGCCUGGGGAGUACGACCGCAAGGUUGAAACUCAAAGGAAUUGACGGGGACCCGCACAAGCGGUGGAGCAUGUGGUUUAAUUCGAAGCAACGCGAAGAACCUU